UACGUAGGGUGCGAGCGUUAAUCGGAAUUACUGGGCGUAAAGCGUGCGCAGGCGGUUUUGUAAGCCAGAUGUGAAAUCCCCGGGCUUAACCUGGGAAUGGCAUUUGGGACUGCAAGGCUCGAGUGCGGCAGAGGAGACUGGAAUUCCUGGUGUAGCAGUGAAAUGCGUAGAUAUCAGGAGGAACACCGAUGGCGAAGGCAGAUCUCUGGGCCGUAACUGACGCUGAGGAGCGAAAGCGUGGGGAGCGAACAGGA
rnacentral:rRNA from 1 species